rnacentral:rRNA from 1 species
GAUGAACGCUGGCGGCGUGCCUAAUACAUGCAAGUCGAGCGAAGCGGGGACGGGUGAGUAACACGUGGAUAACCUCCUAUAAGACUGGGAUAACUUUGGGAAACCGGAGCUAAACCGGAUAAUUAUGGAUGGACCCGCGUUGCAUUAGCUAGUUGGGAAGUUACCGGCUUACCAGGGCAACGAUGCAUAGCCGACCUGCGAGGGUGAUCGGCCACACUGGACCUGUGACACGGUCCAGACUCCCACGGGAGGCAGCAGUAGUGGAUCUUCCGCAAUGGGCGAAAGCCUGGCGGAGCAACGCCGCGUGAGUGAUGUAGGUCUUCAGAUCGUAAAACUCUGUUAUUAGGGACGCGGUACCUAAUCAGGAAGCCCCGGCUAACUACGUGCCAGCAGCCGCGGUAAUAC